UGCUGAGGCACGGAGCUGCCUCGCCUCCGGAGCGCCAGGCGAUUCCGGGCAUCCAGGCCGAGAUCUCGGAAUUCUGGACGCGGGGACAGCUGGAGCCGCUUGGGUUGACACCGUUCGAGCGUACUGAACCCUCUGCGAACGCAGGCCGAGAGUGUGGGAGUCUGGGCCAUAUACCACUCUCUUGGGAUGCUCUGGGGCUCCAUCCGCCCGACCUCUUGGGCACUUGCCGACUGCACGCUCCCCAUCCUGGGCCGAGCCACCGGGCAGUUGGGAUCCUUGGGCUCCGGAGAGGGAUCGAGGGACCGGGCGGACUCGGGUUGAGAGUUCACGCUCCCAAGUCCAGACUUUGGGGUCUAGGUACUGAGUCCACGUGGAAGGAUAGGAGGGCGAAUCCCUACCUUCGGGUCGUGCCCCUUGCGCUCCGGAAGAAGAGCGGCUCUUACGUGGGGCAAGGGCAUUGUGUGUCCCCCCGGGACCUCUCCAGCCCCGGCACAUCAAGCUCACGGCCGCGGCGAGCUACGAAGCUUGCGCGGUGACGGGCUCCACCUCCCCAGGUGGCAGGGCUCGGCCGCAGGCAAGUGCUGAUGCCGCGUGGACAGUCGGCGAGAAACAGACACCCAGCUGGGUCCACACACACCCCACGCGCGCACACACUGACGCUCCCUGUCACCUCUCCCCGAGUCCCCAGCACACACGCCUCCGAGCUCACACUCACGCCUACUCCCCGCUCCGCCUCCACGCCCAGGCCGAGCUCACCUUGCCACGCUCACCCCCGUGCCCACCCUCGCUGGCACACGCGCCCACACCCGCGUCGGCACACUCCGCCACCUCCAGACACAUCCUAGGAUUCCUCCACUGGCCCGGGGAGACGCACCAGGCUCUGCCUUGUCUCCCUGCCCCCCACCCUGGCUCACGCGCGCGCCCCUCUACACACACAUACACACACACACAGCACACACACACACCCUCGCGCGGGGAGUCACUCCCCCUAGCACGCCCUCGCCCUGGGCACCCUCCCGCGGCGAGCCUCCGGGUCCUCCUCGUCUCUCCCUCCGCGCUCUCGGGCCCGGCCUGGAGCCGCUCGGUCGCCGGGGAUCUGUCGGGAGGCAAGGGCGCAGCCUCGCCGCCUCCCCCGGACUCUCCUCUCCGCCCCGCCCGCGCCGCGCCCCCAUCGCCUCCCCCUUCGGGAGAGGGACCUCGCCAGGCAGCCGGUGGCCCGCCGGGCUCCGCUCCGCGCGGCGCCGGCAGCGGCGGGGGCAGGGCGCGAGCGAGGGAGCCCGCGAGCCCGCGAGCCCGCGAGCGGAGCGGCGAGGCGGGGAGGGGACGCGCUGCCGAGCCGGGGCUGGAGCGACGGCGGCCGCGGCGGCGGCGACUGGGGAGGGAGGGCCCCACGGACAGACGGACGCACGAACGGACGGAGCGAAGAAGGGAAGGAGAGACUUGGCUCGCGAGGAGGAGCGGUGCGAGCGGCGGCCGCUGGGCGCUUCCCCGCGCUGCUGGGUGCUCUGCGCCUCCGCGGCCCCCGGCUCCCGGCGGCAGCUUCCUAGCGCGCGCGGGGCGCGGGGUGCGGGGCCCGGGGCUUGCUUCGCUGAAGGGGUUGCUGAACUAACUUCCAAGCUGGUGUGCCGCGUGGCAGAGCAGUGGCCGCCCAGGAGCUGGAGUCACCAUGGCGGCCGGAGUCGCAGCCUGGCUGCCCUUCGCGCGGGCUGCGGCCAUCGGGUGGAUGCCAGUGGCCAACUGCCCCAUGCCCCUAGCCCGGCCGUCUUUAAAAAGCCA
ensembl:lncRNA